CAGAAUGUGACUCCAAUUUUGCCUUUUUUGCUAGUGGUCACACUCUGAAGGCCUAAAAGCUCCGAGAUCAAAAGAAGAGAAUCACAUUAACUUCUCCCCACUUUGGUGGCAUUGAAUAUAUAACAACAGUUUGCUUCCAAAAGAGAAAGCUGGAAGUCAUUGGAACCUGAGCUGGAUAGGUGGUAGAUCGACGGUGGAGGAAGGUGGAGUCAUCAACAGCUGCAAAUAAAGAACUGGAAAACCUAUAAGACGUGACCUGAACGAAGAACCUCUGUAUCUCUGUGUGAACAGUUUUUAGCCCAAGGAACUGCAUCUGAAUGAAGUAUACUGUCGCCAGGUUCCCAAGGUUCAGAGACAGCUGAUCAAAAGAUUGGUAAGACCUUGUUCACAGGGACUACGCUUUGCUGUGUGGAGUCAAAUUUGCCAAGGAGAGAUCAGCUGAUGUGCUUCUGUUUCAUAGUCAACCCUGGGUGAAGGAAAGGAGUUCCACUUUCAGAGAAGAAAGGAUACAGGCUAAAUCAACUCCUGGUGAAAAAUUCUUCCUUCUUGGGAAAUUAUAUUUGCAAAGCUGCAUGAAAGGUAUCUCUGUUUAGUAAUAGAUUAGACUGCUAAUCAAGUCCUCUGUGUUGUGGUCAUUUUUGCUAUCCUGGGUGAAUAGAUCAUGAUGUUAAUGGCGCCACUGAUGGUCAUGUGGGCAUUUGAGGAGAUAAGCACCAUAUGGCAUGAGGAUUGACAUUGCAAACUGAUGUUGGAGACUGUGCCUAGAGAAGGGGAAAAUUCAACUCCUUACUCCUAAAUAUGCUAACUGUAGCGAAAAGGUGCUGGAACUUUUCCAUAUUAACUGUUACAUCAGCAGACUGAUGAAAGUCAGGAUACUGCACAUUAGCGGGUAUAGUAAGCUAAUAGUAAGUCAUAGGGAUUUGAGUUAAAUGGCAGGCCUA
rnacentral:lncRNA from 1 species